CCCUGACUUCAGCAGUGACUAAGCUUGGAAGCUGUAAAGCUUGGUAAUAAACCUGUCACUGAGGCUGUGGGCUGAGCCAGGAUGCUGACCCUGGGUGUCUUCCUCAGCAGGGCAAAAGCCCCGGGUCCCAUUCUUCCCAACAGCCAAGCAACCCUGCCUGCAAUGCACUGGGAGCCAGUAGCAGUGGGCAGAGAGAGCUGACGGCAGAGAUCAAUGCAUGCACAUGAACCAGGCAGAGUUCCAAGCCAGUCUCCACUGUUACCUGUCAACAUGUCCUUGAGCGCCUGACUACACCUCAGCUUACCAACCUGAAAGGUUCCUUCUAGAGAUGGCUACUUGGGUGCUGCUGUGGAAGCAGGAGACAAUUUAGCCCUGUGCAUUGUGGAACCUGAGAAGCUCCCCCUGGAGAUGACUGCUCAGGUGCAGCUGGGAUCUGGACUUACACACAGAAAAGAAUUGUAGGACUCGUCAGUGUGAAGCAGAGCUGAAGUUCGUGGGACAGAUUCCAGUGUGGGCAUUCACAGAUGCACUUAAAUGCCUUGCCAGAAGUCAUCAUGCAGCAUGGCUCUUGCCAAGGAGAUGUCAGCUGGAGGCUGGAAAGCUUUUUAAAGGGAGCAGAUUAAAUUGCCGUGGCCGAUCCACAGCUCCUUUCCUCCCUUCCCUUGUCUGGAACGGGGAUGUGAUGUCUGGAGCUUCAGCAGCCAUACCACACCAUGGGUCCAAUUUGAGAUUGGCAGUAGUUGGCUCGGGUGAUGGAACAGAGGGAGGGAGCCUGUGUCUCUUCUCCCAGGCUGCACUGUGGGGAUGCCCUACCAACCCUGGACUACCUGCCUCUGGAAUCCUGGUUGGCAAAGAGAUAAAUAAAUAAGCCCCUUAACUUUCCUGUGUCACAUUGUCAAUCGUCUUCCUGAUGAGCAAGAACCCCGGUUAGAACUGAGUAAGACUGGGAAGUGCCGUGGAGCCGGAGGGCUCCAGGGGAACCAACAGGGCAGCAGUAAGGAGCUUGCUGUCUCUCCCAUCCCCACCCCCAUUUCCACUCACUCUGCUUUAAUGUGUUGUACUGAAGAGAGGUGACCUAGUUAGGUUUGUCUCAAGAGCAGAUUCUAAGCAAAUAAAUAAAUAAAUACAAAGUUUA
rnacentral:lncRNA from 1 species